GCUCAGUUGGUUAAGCAUCUGACUUCGGCUCAGGUCAUAAUCUCAUGGUUCGUGGGUUUGAGCCCCACACUGGGCU
rnacentral:tRNA from 1 species